rnacentral:rRNA from 1 species
CUCUGUGACUCCUACGGGAGGCAGCAGUGGGGAAUAUUGCACAAUGGGCGCAAGCCUGAUGCAGCAACGCCGUGUGAGUGAAGAAGGUUUUCGGAUCGUAAAACUCUGUCCUAAGGGAAGAACAAAUGACGGUACCUUAGGAGGAAGCCCCGGCUAACUACGUGCCAGCAGCCGCGGUAAUACGUAGGGGGCAAGCGUUAUCCGGAAUCACUGGGCGUAAAGGGUGCGUAGGCGGCUUAGCAAGCCAGGGGUGAAAGGCAUUGGCUCAACCAAUGUAAGCCUUUGGAACUGUUAAGCUUGAGUGCAGGAGAGGUAAGUGGAAUUCCUAGUGUAGAGGUGAAAUUCGUAGAUAUUAGGAGGAACACCAGUGGCGAAGGCGACUUACUGGACUGUAACUGACGCUGAUGCACGAAAGCGUGGGUAGCGAACAGGAUUAGAUACCCUGGUAG